rnacentral:rRNA from 1 species
AUUGAACGCUGGCGGCAGGCCUAACACAUGCAAGUCGAGCGAGCGGCGGACGGGUGAGUGAUGCCUGGGAAUUGCCCAGUCGAGGGCGGUAACAGUUGGAAACGACUGCUAAUACCGCAUACGAUUGGCUUGACCAGGUGGGAUUGGCUGGUUGGUGAGGUAAUGGCUCACCAAGGCGACCAUCCCUAGCUUGUCUGAGAGGUUGAACAGCCACACUGGAGGUGAGACACGGUCCAGACUCCUACGGGAGGCAGUAGUGGGGAAUAGUGCGAAAUGGGGGAAACCCUGAUGCAGCCAUGCCGCGUGUGUGAAGAAGGCCUUCGGGUUGUAAAGCACUUGCAGCGAGGAGGCGUUACUCGCAGAAGAAGCACCGGCUAACUCCGUGCCAGCAGCCGCGGUAAUUC